rnacentral:rRNA from 1 species
UACGUAGGGGGCAAGCGUUGUCCGGAUUUAUUGGGCGUAAAGCGCUCGCAGGUGGUUCGUCGCGUCGUGCGUGAAAGACCCCGGCUCAACUGGGGGAGGUCGUGCGAUACGGGCGGACUGGAGGCCAGUAGGGGGAUGCGGAAUUCCGGGUGUAGUGGUGGAAUGCGUAGAGAUCCGGAGGAACACCAGCGGCGAAGGCGGCAUCCUGGACCGACACUGACGCUGAGGAGCGAAAGCCAGGGGAGCAAACGGG